UUUAGCACGUAAUAGGCACAUAAUCAACAUUUACUGUUUAAUUGAAACAAAAUAAAACUGGGUGCUGUCUCAAUCUUCAUUUGUAAUCGGCCCUAAUUGCACUGGCAAUGUUUCCCGCUUUUUCGUUUUCCAUUCGCAUGCGUACCUAGCUCUCCGGCUCCUUUACAAAACAAACCGAAGAACACAAGCACAGCCAGCGAGAGCGAAAAACUCUCAAACGGACAAGAUGGCGGCCUCCUCUCGCGCCUCUUAGUCCCACCCACUCAGGGAGGAGGUCUGCGUCAUGUGACCUUCCCCUUCCUGGGUCCGCCUUCCGUCGCAGUGCCUGACGGGAGGCGGAGCGGCGAACGAGGCCGUCGGCCAUUUUGUGUCGGCCUCCUGUGGGACGCGGUGGUAGCCGUUGGGUUAGGAAAGUGAGCGAUUUUUCGCCUCGUUUCUCCUGCUUCUUUUUUUCUCCCUUUUACUUUAUCGGUAGAGCGCAGUUAUGGGUCGCAAGAAAAAGAAGCAGCUGAAGCCGUGGUGCUGGUAUUGUAAUAGAGAUUUUGAUGAUGAGAAGAUCCUUAUACAACACCAAAAAGCAAAGCAUUUUAAAUGCCAUAUAUGUCACAAGAAAUUGUAUACAGGACCUGGCUUAGCUAUUCAUUGCAUGCAGGUACAUAAAGAAACAAUAGAUGCCGUACCAAAUGCAAUACCUGGGAGAACAGACAUAGAAUUGGAAAUAUAUGGUAUGGAGGGUAUUCCAGAAAAAGAUAUGGAUGAAAGACGACGACUUCUUGAACAGAAAACACAAGAAAGUCAAAAAAAGAAGCAACAAGAUGAUUCUGAUGAAUAUGAUGAUGACGACUCUGCAGCCUCAACUUCAUUUCAACCACAACCUGUUCAACCUCAACAAGGUUAUAUUCCCCCCAUGGCACAGCCAGGACUGCCACCAGUGCCAGGAGCACCAGGAAUGCCUCCAGGCAUACCUCCAUUAAUGCCAGGUGUUCCUCCUCUGAUGCCAGGAAUGCCACCAGUUAUGCCAGGGAUGCCACCUGGAUUGCAUCAUCAGAGAAAAUACACCCAGUCAUUUUGCGGUGAAAACAUAAUGAUGCCAAUGGGUGGAAUGAUGCCACCUGGACCAGGAAUACCACCUCUGAUGCCUGGAAUGCCACCAGGUAUGCCCCCGCCUGUUCCACGUCCUGGAAUUCCUCCAAUGACCCAAGCGCAGGCUGUUUCAGCUCCAGGUAUUCUUAAUAGACCACCUGCACCAACAGCAACUGUACCUGCUCCACAGCCUCCAGUUACUAAGCCUCUUUUCCCCAGUGCUGGACAGAUGGGGACACCUGUCACAAGCUCAAGUACAGCUUCAUCCAAUUCAGAAAGUCUGUCUGCAUCUUCUAAAGCUCUGUUUCCUAGCACAGCACAAGCUCAGGCAGCUGUCCAGGGACCUGUUGGUACAGAUUUCAAACCCUUAAAUAGUACCCCUGCAACAACUACAGAACCCCCAAAGCCUACAUUCCCUGCUUAUACACAGUCUACAGCUUCAACCACUAGUACAACAAAUAGUACUGCAGCUAAACCAGCAGCUUCAAUAACAAGUAAGCCUGCUACACUUACAACAACCAGUGCAACCAGUAAGUUGAUCCAUCCAGAUGAGGAUAUAUCCCUGGAAGAGAGAAGGGCACAGUUACCUAAAUAUCAACGUAAUCUUCCUCGGCCAGGACAGGCCCCCAUCGGUAAUCCACCAGUUGGACCAAUUGGAGGUAUGAUGCCACCACAGCCAGGCAUCCCACAGCAACAAGGAAUGAGACCCCCAAUGCCACCUCAUGGUCAGUAUGGUGGUCAUCAUCAAGGCAUGCCAGGAUACCUUCCUGGUGCUAUGCCCCCAUAUGGGCAGGGACCGCCAAUGGUGCCCCCUUACCAGGGUGGACCUCCUCGACCUCCAAUGGGAAUGAGACCUCCUGUAAUGUCGCAAGGUGGCCGUUACUGAUCCUACUUCAUCCAGUCUAAAUAGGUUUUUAGAAGUGAAGUAUAGUAAAUUUGGUUCGUUAAAUUGUGAAGGCGCUGGAAUUACAUGAACAUACCACCUUAUUAAAGCCCUGCCAUAGGACAGGCUGAGGCUGAGUCUCAGUGUUGCCCUGUUCAGUCUGAGGCAAGUGGGAUUUAUUUUAUUCCUUAUGGGGGCUUUCACAGCUUUAUGGCUGUUGGAUAUUUAUGUCCCCAAACUUGCAGCAAGUUUGGUGAAGGCCCCUACAUUUAAUUAAACUUAGGAUUUUUAUACUCUUUUGGCAGAGAAGGCUCUAUAUUAAUAUUCACGUUUGACUGUGGUGUUAAUAAACAUUAAGUAUUUCAUAUGCAAUUUUAUGUAAUUUGCUUUGUGUUACAUAAUAAACAGCUUCAGUAAAGCUUGUGUUACUAUAUUGAACUUAAGUAAAUUGAUGAAAUUUGAUAUUUUUGAUUUGGAGGCAUGAAAUGUUUCAGAUUUUCUGCUUGCACUUCUAGGAAAAUCUUACUGGUUUUAUUUUCUCUGUAAACUAUUAAAUUUAACCUCAAGGAUAAGUUUAAUCAUUGGAAAUGCCACAGCUGGAGUGCGGUGAUCUUCGCUUACUGCAACCUCCGCCACCUGGGUUUAAGUGAUUCUCUUGCCUCAGCCUCCCAAGUAGCUGGGGAUUACAGGUGCCCACAGCCACACUUGGCUAAUGUUACAGUAUUUUUUAGUAGAGACGGGGUUUCACCAUGUUGGCCAGGCUGGUCUCGAACCCCUGAUCUCAGGUGAUCUGCCCAUCUCGGCCUCCCAAAGUGAUGGGAUUACAGGCGUGAGCCACCGCGCCUAUUUGAAAUCUGCAUUCUCAAUCACAAACUUAGCAUUGAAUGUUAAGGCUAAAAGGUCAUCUGGAAAUGCUUGAUUUUUUAAAAAUAUUUCCAAGCCUCACCACAUUAGAGCAAAUGUUAAUGUAGAGCCCUGUAAAGAUGGGAAGGUGUUGUCUAUGUGUGUGCUUGUGUAUGUGGGGGUAUAGACCAUACAGUUGAUACAUAACAAGAAUUUGGGUGAUAUAGACCUUUUAGUAUGGUUAGAUUACUGAUUUUCAGGUAUCCAAACUGAAAUUUGAUACCUGAUGAUGUGGUAAAGUAUGUUCAACUAUGGUUUUGGAGUGAUUAUUUUGAGGUUCAUUUUCAGCCUUACUGAACUGUGUUUUAUGCACAUGUGAAAAGUAUCCACAUUAGUUUCCAACUAAAAUUUGCUUUUAUUUGGUGAGAAAAGUGUGUGUGCGCGGGCGCGGGCGUGUGUGUGUGUGUGUGUGUGUGUGUGUGUUGUAGGGAAUAAUUACAGUGAGGCCAAAAGCAAACCUGAAUUAUUUUUGUUUUUUGUGUUUGAGCCACCAUUCCAUCCAGAUAGCAGUUUACUCUGAGCAGUAACAGUUAACAAACAGUAUAACAUUUAGCAAACCUGGAAUUGUUUAUACAUGGUUUUCAUUCUUGGAAGCCUAAGGAAAAAAAUAUACAUUAAAUGAAUUUCAGAUUUUGACCUGCUUAAUAAUAACAUGUUUUUCACCAUAACGAAAUGAUAUAAAAGGCUUUUAAUAUUUAAAGAAAGAAUUUUGUUGCUUCCAUUACAAAAUAUUCCAUUGGACUAUUUUAUAACUUCAGUAAUCAACAUGUAAGAGCCCUUAAUUGGAGAUUUGUUUUCUCUCAUACCUACCAUCCCCCAAUAUGCUGAAAUCUUUAGAAGUUGCUUGUCUUAAUUCUGAUGGUGAUAAUGAAAAAAUGUGCUGGAAAUAAAGGCUCGAUUUAUCUGCUUGAGUACUGCGGGUGGGAGGAAUUUAGCAAUGGCAUAAUUAUUUGAAGGUAAUAUAUAUAGAUAACUAAGAGUUCCCUUUUUUUUUGUGGUAGUUCUGUGACUCAGACAAAUAAGAUUUUGAUAAUUAUGUAAUUUUUAGAUGUCUGUAACAUCCACUGGUAAAACUUGGCAAACAAAAGAAAAUAUUGAAGUCAUUGCUUUAACUGAGCCAAAAUUUUGUUUGAGUAAGUUGAUGAAAGUAGAUAUGCACCCUAGAAGUAGAUACCCUAAAAUUUAUAUGGACAUUUAUAUCUUUUUUUAAAUGCUAUAGUUAUUGACCUAAUACUGAGUAAUCUUUCUGUGUUAUUCCAAAAUGAAAUUUGCUUGCUCUUCAUUGUAACUUUUAUGGAAAAGUCCUUUAAAAAGGGGAUUUCGUUGUAAGGCUACUGGCUAUAGGGCAGAGUUUGAUGAGCAAACAUUCCCCCACUUCUGCUAACUAUCUCAUGACAGUGAAGUUUACUUCUUUUUUUAACCCUUUCUUGGUAUUUUAAUUUCAUUGAAUCAUUUAAAUAAUAACCUUUUGUUUUUAUAGCAAUCAUCUGACUUUUCUGUGUGAUAUUUCUUGGCAAAAUAAGAAGCACUUAACGAUGUUGUAUAUAGAUAGGAUCAUGUACACAAUGGAUGUUCAUAAUUUUGUGAUUAGUGCUGAAUUUUCAAAACUAAUAUCUUAAGUUCUUAGAACACCCGAUUAUGGAUCUAAUUCAAACCAAUAUGUAGGAAAUGGAGAAAGUAGAACUUCAGUUUGAGCUUCCCAGUAACUAAAUAUAUCCAACUUUUCCAAAUGUUUAUCUCAAAAAACAUCUCUUUAUUUUUUUUUAACCUGGCAUUUUUUAUUAGAAAAUAGAUGAACUUUUAAAGGAACAUUUGAAAAAACAUUUCUUCAGUAAGGCUCAGAAAAUAAUUGCUUUAAACAAGUACUAUUUUUUUCUUGCUUUUGGCUCUAUACAUUUUUGGAUAUUUUAGUCUCUAAAGGAAGAGCUUUUCAUUUUCUUCCUAACUCUGGAAAAUAAUAGUUUGGACCUAAAUUAAUUUGAAAAAUCUGAAUAAUCUCUCUUUAAAACUCUUUUCAAUUAGUCUCACGUAUUCUCAGAAGAAAAUGUCUUUAUUUUACUAAGCAGAAUGUAGUAGUCAUUAAGGCAGAAAUUUGUAGUCUGAAGGAGAUAGGUCUUCACUGAAGCCAAUUUGAAAAAUUCCUAUUUGAAGCAGGUUGGACACUUAUAAAUCCAGACUGGCUCAUUAGAUGGAAACUUUGAUGGUUAGGUUCUUUAGGAGGCAUACAGUCAGUUAUGGUUAUGAAAAUGUUGAUGUAUAUGUUUUAAUUUUGAUCAAAAUAACCUUAGAGGAGGUACAUGUGAGUAAACUGUGUCUUAAUGGUUGAUUACUUGGACCCCGCCUGUUCUGUAAGGUAGUAAUAUGGCACAGCUUCAGUAAUGUGUGCUGUUUGUAAAAAGGUGAAGUCCUUCAUUGGCAUUUUCUAAGCCCUCUGACAUUCUUAGUGUCUGGGUUGGUUGGUUUGCAUUUUACCAUUAUGGUUGAAUCUGUAUUCCUUCACCACUGGUUAAGUCUGAGGAACGGACAGUGAAGUUCAUUGAUGGACAACUUGGAUAAAAAUGAAGAAUGAUAUCCCAGUUUACUUCACAGGUCAAUAGUGAUCAUUUGGGAGGUGUUAUUUGACUUAAGAACCUUAAAUGUAUUGAAAAGUAACAGCAUUCUUGCUCAUGGUUUGCAUUUGUUACUGAGGUCUCACCAUAUCAUUUAUUUUAAUGUAGCUUAUUAAAAUUUUAUUCAUAAAUAGUUCAGCAAUCACAGAGGUAAAAAAAAAAAAUAAGAUUUUUGUACCAUUAUCUUCCAAUCUUUGCCAGUAAAAUGAGGCUGCUUAACUACGCAAGUGGAGCAAGGGAAGAGUAAUUACAGUUACUGUAAGUCUUGAGUUAGAAAAGAUAUGGAACAUCUAGUUAUUGAGCAAAGCCCCCUUUUACCUAUUAACUUAUUAGGUAAUUCAAGGAGAAACAAUAGGAUUUGCUUCCUAGUACAUGUUUUAAAAAUUGAUAGUCUCUGAUGUGACAAAAUUUUUGUGAAAGUUGAAUUACAAGCUUUUAAAAAUUGCUUGUCUUUGGGGAUGUGUUUACAUAUUCAUUUAAAUUUAGAAACUACUACAUGUUUAAGAUACAUGCUCAUCCCCUUUUUGGAGUAAUCAAAAUUUCCAUCACAAUUCACAUACUGGAAAACAUAGUUUAUAAGAUCGAGAUGUGUCCAAGAGAUUUUCAGUGUCAUUAGUUCAUUCUAAAUAGCCAAUGUAAGAUAACUUUUGUAUAAAAAAAAAAUAGGGAAAAGUUUUAAAUGUAUAGCAGGCUCUGAGGAAAUUUAAUGCACAUUGACUUUUUAAACUAUGGAUUGAACUCCUCAGUUUAAUACAAUUUGUGUUUUUGUUAACUAGCAGCAGAAUUUCAGCAUUUGCUACUUACUGGUAGAGAAGAAAAAUCCCACAGCCCUGCCAGUACAGGUUAGUUUAAUCUGUAAGUACCUGAUGUUCCUAUUUUUUUCAAACAUAUCCAUAUAACUCACACAAGGAAGAAAGCUGUGCAGUUACUUAAAUGUGAGUAUAACUAAUAAUAGGUCCAUUGGACACUUACAACACUCGAUACUUGGGCCAAAGUAGAUCUAGGUUUGCUAACCCCAGUUGUAAUAAAGGUGUAAUACUGCUCCUUUGUUGUCUCUUUGUGGUUCAACCUAAGUAGACACAUUGUCCAUAAAAGGAAAAGACAGUGAGUUAAAGUUGGCAAUGCCCUUGUUGAUGAAUGAUAUGGAGUCCAGGGCUUUGGGUCUGGGGUCUUUUACUUAAGCUCUUCCAUGGAGUUCUCUCAUUCACCUUUUAACUUUUCACAGUAUGAAUCAACCUAAGAAAAAAGGCAAGUUUCCUCACAUCUAGAAAUAAUAAGUGGUGUACAAUCAUAAGUUAGAAUAUGUUUUUAUAAUGCUUUGUUCUUAAAUACUUUUAGCAGCACUUGUAAAUGCAAGUACUCAUUUUUUCUUUCUUUUUUUUGUAAAUUAUAACGUAUCCUGUUGGUGUACCUGUGUGAGUUCAUUUUACUUUGAACUAAGAAUAAGAUACCUUUUUAAUAGUCAAAUGAAAGCUGACUGCCCAUCAAGAAAUGCAGCUAGAUUCUUCAUGUAACACUUCUGAGAGGCAUUGGGAACACAAUGGGUUGUGGAAGGUAUUUGCAACAUUUUUAGUUUUUCAUUCUACCCAAGUUCAUUGUUUGAACCAUCCUUAAAAGAUUUCCUUUAAUGUUUAAAUGUUGUGCUUGUAGGUUGACGCAAACAUAAAGCACUGAGGAGGGAGGUAUAAAGCAUACAAGUUAAUUUCUAAUUUUUGUAAGCUUGAACCAUUCUAAUCUGAUAGUAGGAUGUAUGGCUUCUUCCUUUUCACCUUGUGUGAUGUCUGAUUUGAGACAAUCUAGCCAUAAAACUAGUUCAUCUUGCACUCCUCUUGAGCUAGAUGGUGAUUAGCCAUUGUGAAAACAGAUAAUCUUUAUAUGGAAAUUGUACAUAUUGUUAAAAUUUUAAAACGUGGAUUUAUCAACUGAUAAUAAAAUAUAUCUUACCAGAUAUCCACUUGUUUUUUAAUGUAAAAUUGCACAAGGGUUUAAGUUUCAUUGCCUUUCACAGUUUAAUCUGUAUAUGAAAUGGCGUAGAUACAGUGGAAAUGGUUUUCCUUAAAACCAUCUCUUUAAAGCUGCCUUUCUGGUGAGUACUGUUUUAUACUUUUAUAUAUCAUAAGUUUACCUAAUAAAAUUAACUGAAACAGGACACUUUGAUUAAAGAGGUGAGCAAUCUGAAUUUCUCUAUCUCUUUGAAUAUUGCUUGAAUCAGGAAUAUUAGAAAAUGAUUAUUUUACCACCUGGCAUUUCCCUAUUAAUCCUAGUUCACUUUUUUCUGAUCUUCACUUAAUAGACUCUAAAUACAAAAACUUGUUACACAUAAAUUACUUCAUUUUGGUGAGAAGGAAUAAAUGUUUUUAUUUAAAACUAGUAUUUAAGAAAGUUCUUAAACAUUUUCUUUUUAGUUGGCAGCCAAAGUAUUUUUCUCAGUGCUUUGGAGACAUUGCAUUGUUGUAAAAUUAAAAUACCAGAACUUCAUUCUGUUUUUGUUGAAGUUGUUGUUGCAGUGAUUCUUGAACAGUUAGCUGGAGUUUGGGUGGGAGAAGGGUUUACCGAAAUUCUUAGUGCAGACCAGUUACUUACAAGGUUUCUUUGAGAGGCUUAAAAAUUUCAAAAGUAUUUAAGCCACUCUGACCCUGCAUUAAAAAUAGGAGUUAGAAAUACUGAUUUCUGAGACCACAUAUACCAGUGAAAAUUAGCUUCUAUUUUUAACCACUUUAUGUCCUGGUUUAUUUAGCCUUGGUAUGUUUAACACAUGGGUUAUUUCUUCCCCUCUAGUUUUUAGCUACAUCCUAGAUAAAACCAGCAUAUGCUAGGAGUGUUUUUACAUUCUAUUUUGCUGUGAUCUUUAUAAACAAAUAAACUCAACUCUAAAUGCUUUUUAGUGUGAACAAUGAUAGUUUUGUAAAAUCUGAAAAUUGAUAUCUGAGUAUGUGAUGUGGCAAUGCAUUCUUCUAGAUAAGCACUAAACAACAUAUGGACCUUCAAUUUGUGUCUUUAAGAUUUAAAAUGAAGUAAAUUUCUAAGGAACUGUGUCCUUUCCUAGCAGGAAUAAACAGACAGUGAAAAUUUGGUAAGUAUAUCACUUUUUAAGUGCAUGUAAUAGCGAUGAGAGUAGCCAAAUUUUCAUAGUGUUAAGAUAAUGUUUAAAAGUGAGCAGGAAUUAUUUUUGCGACUUAAUGUAUAUGUGUCUGACAUUUUUACAAACUUGUGUGCAUAAACAUUAAAUUGGAACAUACCUUACUCCUUUGGGUUUUUUUUGGGGGGGUAUGAUGCUUUAAAUACUAAUUUUAUAUUUCAAGCUUUUUGCAGGGUAGAAAUAAGUGGCCGUUAAAGAAAAUAUCUUCAAGAAGAAUUAUUUCAAUGUCCCUUUUUAAAACCUGACGAUGGCUUUCAGUUUACUUAAGUCUUCUGUUUUUCAGCUCCAGUUAAAACUGACAAUAGGCAGCUAUCAAAAAUGGAAAAAAAUCUUGUGCUCUUUCUGGAAUAUUAGAGGAAUCAGUUAAUAAUAAUAAAGUGGUUUUAAGCCAAUGCUUGAUUUGCAUGGAAGCAGUUUUUAAAUUAAGAGAGAAGAGGUGAUGAAAUUUGGGAGUCUACUCCCUGGGAUGUUGUAUUAAUAAAGUGAUAAUAAAUGAAGGUUAAAGUGAAGUGUUUAAUUGCUACCCCAGGAAAUAAUUGAUUAUUUGUGAGGAAAAAGCCCAUUUAUUUCCAAACUAGUCUAUAGUGGUUUAGAGUAAGCAUUAUUUUAUGAAGUGGUGCAAGAUCCCAAACAUUAGUAAAGAGACCUCUCAGGUCAAUCUCUAGGCUUCACUUUUACUUGACAAGGGAUUAUGUAAAGAAUAAGUCAGAUAAGGGAUAUGGUUUGUAAGGAGGUCCUGACCAAAGGAUGAUAAAUGUUAUUCUAUAUAUAUCAUUAAAUGGUCUAGCUAAAGAAAAAUCAUGACUGAUAGCAUUUUUAAAACUUUUUUUUUUUUUUUUUGAGACAGAGUCUGGCCAUCGCCCAGGCUGGAUUGCAGUGGCACAAUCUUGGCUUACUGCAAAUUCCGCCUCCUGGGUUCAGACAAUUCUCCUGCCUCAGCCUCUUGAGUAGCUGGGAUUACAGGCACCCACCACCAAGCCCACUAAUUUUUGUAUUUUUAGUAGAGACGGAGUUUCACCAUUUUGGCCAGGCUGGUCUCGAACUCUUGACCUUGUGAUCUGCUCAUCUUGGCCUCCCAAAUGCUGGGAUUACAGGUAUGAGCCACUGCACCCAGCCCACAUAGUUUUUAAUGUAAGUAAAUGAGCUCACUAAAGUUCUUACACGAAUAAUACUAGUGUCUUCUGUCACUUUGAUUUGUCAUCUGGUUAAAUAGCUGGAAGCUUGUGCAAAUGAAAAAUGAAAUGGAAGACUACGUUUACAUGUAUAUCUGUAUAAUUUUUGUCUAUUAGUGAGUGGUUCAGAGAGAGGCAUGUUCAUUAUAUGUAGCCAUGUAAUUUUAUUAGAACUCACAAGGGGCAUUGAAAUGUUUUUCUUUUUCAGAUGGUCUGGGGCUGUUUGCUUACUUUAAGUAAGCCAGGUCUACCAUUUGAAAAAUGGUGCUUUAUUUCCAUAUCUGAAGUCUUAUAUUUUAGUUUGUUUUCAUCUAGAAGUGGAUAGAUUUUUGCUUCUGUCUUAUAUUUUAGUUUGUUUUCAUCUAGAAGUAGAUAGAUUUUUGCUUCUGUGUUAAGAGCCUCUUUGUUUGGAGAAGAUGGUUGGUUCUCUCCUUGACUCAUUAACAAACCUUUGAGUGCUUGUUAUUUACAAAGAUGAAUAAAAUCUUUAAUUUAUUAUUUA